AUACUUACCUGGCAAGGGAGAUACCGUCAUCAUGAAGGUGGUUUUCCCAAGGUGAGGCUUAUCCUUUGUACUCCAAGUGCACUGACACCUGUGAUUUCCCCAAUUGUGUGAAACUCAACUGCAUAAUUUGUAGUAGUAGGGGAAUGUGUUUGCAUUCUCCCCUG